rnacentral:lncRNA from 1 species
ACAGGGCUUUCUUCCCAGACUGUCUGGGUUACUAGAAAGGAUGUAAAGGCUUCACGGGCUCAGAAAACAUACCAACUCAUUCCUAAUGUUUUAAAUUCAAGGAAAAACUCUCUUGCCCAGGAAGGUGGAAAGUGAUUGAAGAACUGAGCUCCCACCUUUGACUUACAAAACUCUGCGUCUGCAAGUUCCCGAGAAGCCGAAGCAUGUUGGACAGAGGGAUCUAGAGAUGACGCUUCCCCAAACUGAAGCAUGAGGUACAGCGCCUCUGAGGAGCCACAGAGAGGAGCGUUGUCAGGGUGACCCACCAGAGGUUUCACUAUUAAAAAACAACCUCUCUU